rnacentral:lncRNA from 1 species
AUAUCCAUUCAUCUUUAUAUUUCUAGUGAUCUUAACUCAAUGCUUUUAUUCAAUAAGCAGUAGUUGAUUGAUAGUCAUUUAAACAUAUGCUGACAGUUUAUUUCCAUUGUUCAUAUUUUGAAAUAUUCUAGCAUAUUAAACAUCCCUGUGAUAUGUCUUAUAGUGAUUGGCAAGCUUUCUUAAUCAAUACAGCCUAUAAUGGACUUAUUAAGAUCAGACUUGGUUGGGUUCCAUUUUGACACAUUUGAGUAAUACCUUUUUUAUCCACUCUGAUUUUAAGGCUUGGCAAUCUUAAUGGCAUUUCUGAUUCACCUUUCUGUAGCUUAAUGCAAUAUCAAAUAGAGGACAUAAUGAGUAGAAAUGUAUUUGAGGGUAUAAAUGAGCCCCUAAAUUAUCACUCCAUUCUAUGACAUUAGGUAGUUAAAAUCUAUUCCAAUUAAACUCUUUUGAGAUAGUAAUUUAUGAUGAAAAGACUGUGAAUGUUCAAAAAUAGUUAAAUGCUCAGAAGCUUUAUUCUAAUAAAAACAUAUAAGUCUAAAAGAGAUUUCAGAAUAUAUCUACAAGAAGCAAAAUCUGCUUGUGGUAGGACUUAUUAAUAACAUUAAGUUUGAAAUAAAGUAUUCAUACAUUUAAAAAUAUUGCUAAAUUUACACUAAAAAAUUGAGUCAUCUUUUGAAGAAUAGUUAAUUAACAUAUUCAUGCAAAUUAAUAUGGGUAUGGUUAAGAGAUUUAGCAGAACCUCAAAGAUUUUCAAAAUUUACUUAAUUUUUUUAAUAUACGUUUACAUUUCUUUCUUGUUUCAAAUUUUGCUGCAUAUGUGUUAAGUGUAGCUAGUCAGGAUGGGAAUGUUGUUUCAUGGAAAUAUGAAGAUAAAGAUUAAAUUUUUUAAUUUGUUUUAGAAAACCGCCUAGAACUUCAGUUCCCAAAGUGAGUUCCAUGAAGUAUUAAGUUUGUAUAAAUUAUAGUCAAUGUAUAUUUUCAGUGCCUACAAUGUGCUGGGUAGGAACAAAACAAAGUGCCCAUCCUUGUGGAACUCAUGUCCUAUUGAGGGACUCAGAUCUCACACAAAGGAACAGGCAUGCACAUGAUAUAUCAGAUUAUGACAAGUGCUGGGAAGAAGAAUGAGGUAGCCUAAGACAAUGGAGCACAGUGGUAUAAGGGUUUCCAUCCAUACAGGAUAUUCAGGGAAGGCCUCUCAGAUAAGAGGUUAUUUGAGCAGAAUGAGGAAGGCAUGGGAUGUCUAGGGGCUGAGGGAUACUAGAAAAGCAAAAAAGAACAAAUUUAAAACCCAGGAGGUAUUAGUGUCCUUGGAAAAUUGUAGGAAGGUCAAGGACGCCAGAAUGGCCGGAAUGAAGAGAGGAGGAAUAGAAGAUAAAGCCAAAAGCCUUUGGGAGGCUUAUAGACAUGGUAAGGAUUUUGGAUUUUUUUUUUUUUCUGAAUGGGGAAGAUGGUCAUUGGAGGAUUGUAAACAGAAAAGUGAAAAAGUAAUUAGAUAAUUACUAGUCAACAUUGUUGCCUAAUAAUAUUAGCUUUUCAUUAGAUAUAUAUUAAAAUAAAUUAUUGGAUGAAUUGAAUACUUAUUGUAAGCUAUAUACCAAAUUUGAACAUUUCCAUUUCUCUUAGUGAUUGUUUUGCCCUAAUUUUGUGAAUCUCAAUGCACAGUAUAUUUUCUACUAAUGUUUUAUAAAUAUCUUGUACAUUUCAACAUUUCAAGGUAAAAUCUGAAAUGUUGGUCUGGAGAAAUACUUUGAGUAUCUACCAUGAGCCAGGUAUAAGCUUUUGAUAGAAGUAAGAGAUAAUUUUCUUAUGUUUUAUUGAAAUGGGUUUCUUGAAAUGUGAAAAUUUAUAACAGUUUGAAAAAAGAGAUACUAAGUAUAUACAAGUUAUACAGACAACUCCAAGUAUUAAGGGAUUGACAAAGCACUGAGACAGAGAAGAUGUCAAUGGAAAUUCAAUGCCUGAGCUAACUUUUGAAAAGCAAAUAGGAGUUUUAGGGGAGGACAAAUUGGGUGAAUGCACUGAAAUUGGAAAUAGUCUGUAUAAUGACAUUGAUCUAUGAGUCUGAAGACCUUUAAUUAGCUAGGCAAACAUUUAAUUGUCUUUUUCACCUAUAAAUAUAAAGCAGUUGGGAAUAAGACACUAAGGAGUGGUGGGCCUGUGGUGAACUGGACAAUGCAUGUCCAUCUUAAAUAAGUACAAAUGUGUUGCUGUCACACACACACACACACACACACACACAUACACACACACAUAUGCACAUGCACAUAUAUACACUUUACAACAAUCAAACAAAAUGCAUCUUUAGGCUAGAUUUAUAUAGAUUUACUUAUUUGUGUCUCCAGCAUUGGUAUAAAGGUUGGAAAAACGAGUGGCUACUAAUAGACUGAUAGGCAACAAUUAUGUAAAAUUGGAACUUAGGAGAACAUCAACAUGAGACUAUUUUGGAGAACCAUACUUUGGUGCCCAAGUAAAGGAUAAAUUAGAAGGAGGAAUAAGGAUAACUGUUAGUUUUCUCUAUUGGGAUAGCUCAGGAUAGCAAACUUAUAAACAUGGUAGUAAGAGCAUAUUGAAAAAAAUUGAUCACUUUAUGGAAGUCUGAUUUACUACGUACUUCUACAUGAGAUAUGAUGAAUACAGGACAAUGUAGGAUAAGUGAAUUUUCUGAUGUGGAGGCCUAGGUGAGUGGUACCAAUGGAAACAAGAAAAGAGCUAUAGGAGGCUGAUCAAAGUUAGGGAGAAUAAACGUAACUCUGGUUAUCUUUUAUCUGCUACCAGAAUGUACAACUUCUAUUUGAGAUCUUCAAAUAUUAAAUUUAGUUUUAUUAAGCAUAUUUGAAACAAGUAUAUUUGAUAUUAUAAACAUUGUAAUAUUUGAGAUUUGUAGCACUGUAAUGGUAUAGAUUAUAAAAUAGACAACUUUACAAAUGCUGAAAUUGAAUACGUUUCAAAAUAUGAUUUUAUACAACAUUACUUAAGAAAGUUUUAUAAUAAUUAAGAUAAUGGAAAGCUGUAGUACAAGAAAUCUACAAGUGUCCUUAGAGAUUAUCUAAGCCAUUAAAUUUGUUUUAUAGCUGAGAAAACAAAGGCACAAAAAUAUUCAGGUGACUUUACAAGAUUAGAGAGGUAGGUGGUAGCAAAAUCAUAUAAUUUAAAUUCUGAGGAAAGAUAGUGAAGUUAGUAAACUUACUAGUAUGUUCUUAAUGUGGAUUUAAAAAAAAGUAGUGAGUUAUGAUACAUCACAAAAAUUAUGAGCAGAAAUUUCCCACAGAACAUCCUUUUUUAUUCACUAUUUUGAUAAAAUAUCUCCAUUACUUAUGCAGGUCUAAAAACCAAACAUCCCAUUGUUUGGUAUUAUCAGGAUUCAAUGGGCCUAAAAUGUAUCUCUUUUUUAUUUUAUUUUAUUAAUUUAUUUUAUUUUUUGUCUUUUUAGGGCUGCACCUGAGGCAUAUGGAGGUUCCCAGGCUAGGGGUCUAAUCGGAGCUGUUCCUGCUGGCCUACGUAUGCCAGAGCCACAGCAAUGCCAGAUCUGAGCCAUGGCUGCGACCUACACCACAGCUCACCGCAACACUGGAUCCUUAACCCACUGAGUGAGGCCCAGGGGUCAAACCUGCAACCUCGUGGUUCCUAGUCAGAUUUGUUUCCGCUGCACCAUUAUGGGAACUCCUCUUCUGUAUUUAAUUUAGAAAACACAGCACUGCUGACUGCUCUAAAUUGUAAACUUGAUGGUGACAAUGGUGGAUAUUACAGAGAUAAGAUGAAAACUGGCUAUACAAUUUUUAAAAAUUGUAAUAAAUGUCGAUUAUAAGCUUUCUGUGUCAUUCAACUGGACAUUUGCUGAAGUGAAAUGACUUUGCAGUUGAUUAGUAUAAAAUAGACAAUUCUAUUUCUCUUGUCAGUGUGAUGAAUCUACUUCUAAAACAGUCUUUUUUUUUUCCUUCAUGAUAAACAGUUAAUUCAUAUCCAGUAAGUUUAUGAAGACUAUUCCACAGACUGUCAUCUGGAUUAACCUCUGUUAAUUACCACUGAAAUGUUGGGUUUUCUGCAUAAAUGGUAAAAUAUUCCUUUAGAGAAUAAAUUGAAAAAUGACUUUGGAGCCUCUGCUGCUGCCAAACCUUUCGGUUCCAUGGUGCAACAUUUAGCCUCUUUGUAAUUUAAUUUUCUACUUUGAAAUGUCACUUGCCAAAUAUCAAUUCAACUCCCCUUACUCUACAUCCAAAAAUCCUAUCAUAAAUGUCACCUACAAUAAGAAAUGGAUUACCUGGAUUUGCGAGAGGGAAUUUCUCAGAGGUGAAUUCUGAAUGAUACAAUAUUAUUUUUACUCCAUUAAAAUGUUCACAUGAUUUGCACAAUGAUUCUAUUUCCACAAUGUACAUCUAAAUCCAUGGAUCUCUGUAUUAUUUCGAUGUGGGUUAUAUGUGAUUCAAGUUUAGCUUUCAGGUAAACUGAGAUUCCUAUAUCAACUCUAGUUUAGUUGAAAUUUGGCAUAAAUCAUAUACUAUUUUUGACCACUGGCACAAACUAUUGGACAAAUUAUUGUUUUAUUUUUUCUGUAAAAAUUGAUUGACUUUCUAAAUUUUUCCAGUGCUGUGAUUUCUUUUGGAAGAACACUAAAGUAAGACCUAUUCAGAGGUCAAUUUCUGUUCUUCAAAGAGUGACUUUAAGUUAUUUAAACCCUCAGGGAUUCUGAAAUAGGAUAUAGUAUAAAAUAUUUCAGUGGUGCAAUUUUCCAUCAAUAAAAGGGAUGUACUCAUACUCAC